rnacentral:lncRNA from 1 species
AAACGUUCCAGCACCGCUUCAUGAGAAGACCAGCGGGAAGGGCUUACAGACAAGAACUACUCUAUACCUCAGGAGUUUCUGCUGGAAAUAUAGUUUGGUUAACUGGAAAUCCAGGGCGCUGCGCAAUUAAAGGUAAAACAAGAGAAACCCCUUACCGUCUUCACUUUCGGUUCCGCUGUCCAGCUGAGGGUUAAUAAACGCAGAAAACCUGGAGAUGAUCCAAAUAUAGUGAGGACUGUGAAGACCAAGCUCAGCACUGCAGGUACC